rnacentral:lncRNA from 1 species
GUUAGCCCCGUCUCGGAGUCGCCAAGGUCUUUUCGAGGGUCUAGUAAGUUAGCCCUCAGGUUAGUUGACCAUAGUUAUAGUUUAGAGUCUUAAGUAGAAGGAGAUAACUCUUGGAGGACUCGGACGCCCAUCACAAAUUGAUGGCACUAUAAAUUUUAUUUUUAUGAAAAGUAUUGUUACAUCAUUGGUAAUAUGUGCGGA